AAUUCCAUCGCCAUAGACUCCAUACAUAAUAUAUACAAUGGAAGAGGAUAUUCUUGGAAAAAUGACACCUUUAAAUGUAUUUAUUUUUUCGUACAGAUUUAUUCUGAGUUCAAUGACACCUUUAUAUGUAUUUAUGUUUAAUACAGAUUUAUUCGGACAGAAAAACCUCUUCAAUGACACCUUUAUAUGUAUUUAUUUUUUCGUACAGAUUUAUUCUGACAUAAAAACCGCCUCCGUGGUAAUUUUCCCACCACACAUGCACCCACCAGUAUCCACCACACAUGCACACAAGACACAACGCUUAAAAAUAGAAGCCAAAGGCAUCAGGAAGGUUCAAGCUCAAAGAGUCUUGAGCAUUUUCUAAAAACAUAUAUGGCUCUCUCUCUCUCCAGCUGUUUAACUGAGUAUUACUCUUCUCAAAACACCAACCAAGGAGAAGAUGCAGAUGAUGAUGAUGAUGAUGGUGGUACAUUGAAAUUCCAGUGGAAGAUCACAAAGCAGCUGAACUCUCACAAGAGAUGGAGAAGCCUCUCUCACUUGAAUUGACGAGUCCCUUCAAUUCUCUUGAUCUCAAAAAGGACCUAUCAGGAAAAGAAGAAAUGUGAAAAGUCCCACAUAUAUCUAUAACAUGUUUGGAAGAACUGAUCCCAAAAGCAUCCCAGCCAGAGUGAAGGAAGGGAGAGAAGAUGAGUCCAUUACAUUCUCAUGUUGUUAGGGUUCUUCAAGGGCAAGAUAAAAGAUGAUUAAGAAAAAAGCAAUUUUUCUUUUUCUUUUUUUUUUUUCAAAAUUUUGGUUGAUAAGUCAAUAAUUACAACGGAAAGUUAAGUUUCUCUACUUUUCGAUCUAUGAAAUUUACAUGAAAUUAUAAAUAAAUAAAUAUAUAUAUUUAUUCUUUAAAUAAAUAACCGAGAACAUAUAUAUUAAUCUUUAAGGCUCUCUAAAGCAAUAUUUAUUACCCAUACGACUUCAUAAUCUUCUUACCAUAUACUUUGAUUACCUUGGGAAAAGAUUUAUUGAUAUUACGGCCUCACAAAACCAAAAAUUUAUAUCACUUUACUCAUCAAUAAAAUGUCAUUGCAACCGCUCUGAGUACUGAUUUUAUGUGUAUAGGAGUCUGUAUUUUGUGCCAAACCUGUACAGAUUCUUUUCUUCUAAUUUCCCUCCAACCAAACUCAGUCUAGGGAGCCCAAACAUUGAAUCUAUCCCAUGCCCAACGAGAAAUCCAUCCCACAUCUGUACCUAACGUUUGAGACAAACCUGUUAUAUAUAAAUUAAUUAUUUCAAUAUUAUUGCGCGGAAGUAAUGUAAGAAUUAUGCAGGAAGAUUCAUAUAUGGAACACUCAUUUGAGCAAGAUACUACAUGUAACUUCUGUUUCUAGUGGAGGAAGAGGCUAUAUGGUUAGAGAGCCACAACCUAGGACCUUCAGCAAGCUAGUCCGGUUGAAGCAUAAUUAGUGGCUUUCUCGUGGCUCUGGUGGAACACAAGUGGUUUGUUCAAAGACAAUUAGAGGCUUCCUCGUGGCUCUGAUAGAACACAAGUGGUUUGUUCAGAAAUAAUUAGAGGCUUCUCUCGCGGUUAUUGAACAUAAGCUGGAAGUACAACAUCUUUUGACAUUUUUUUAUGAUCAUUACAUGGUGAUAUAUACUUUUUGCUACUCUACUUUCUUUCCAAACAAGAUAUUGUUUUUUUUUUUUUUUUUUUUUUUUUUUUUUGAUACGAACAAGAUAUUGUUUUAAGUGACAUGUGAAGCAACAAUGCAAAACCGUUUCAAUGGUCAGUUAGUAGUUCUUUUGUCAA